CUCGGAUACUGGCAGCAUGAAACGUUUGGCGUGUCACCGAUAGGCCAAGCUGGCUCAUCCUUAGGAAAGGCAGUGGAUGGCUGGAUGGGGCCCUGGUGACUGGGAGUCUGAUUCUGAUGGUGUAUACUGAAGACCAAGACUGACUGAGACAUCCAGCCUCAUGACUGAACAACUACUGUAUUCUUGGAGUUCCCAUUGGGAGACAGCCAUUGUUGAACUGGCUGGACUACAGCCUGCGCGGUUGAAGGCUCUCUAGAUCUCCGAGCCCAGGCAUAGAGACCCCUGGCCACCCUGACACCUGGAAAUCUCACAUUCAUUCCAGAAUUGACGCCUGGGGUAUAUCCGGAGGGACAUGAGAAAAGCUGCAGCACCCACAGCCAGAACAGUAGCUGCCCGCUCAUACCUGCAAUCCAUGCCUCCUCAAGUCCUUGCUUUGAUACCCCUGCCCUCACCCCUGAUUUCUGUCAACUAGUGGCAGAGCUAGCCUCCUGGGAUAUCCGAGAUACAUAUCCCCCACAGCUGACCCUGGAGGCUGGCAAAAGAUUUUCCCCUGGAGGAAAUAUUUGGACACGGGGGUUCAGACAUCUCCCCCACUUGUCUCCUAGGGGCGAGAAGCGGGACUGUCUCCAUGGGUGUCGGGAAGGACUUGGGACAUAAAAUGGUAUUUAUCUGACCAGAGCCUGCUGCUGCAGGCCAGACUAGACCCUCCCUAAAGGGGCCCUAGCUAUCCCUGCUGCUGCCCGCUGGACUAAGCUACUCUCCCUGCUUCUCUGCUGGCACCUCCCAACACCAGCCCAGGCACCCGGAAAUCUCACACCUGCUCCAGGUUGGCGAUUCUGUGUAUGUUCAGAGACACCGGUCCCAGAACCUUAAACCUCGCUGGAAGGGACCCUACACCUACUGCCCUCAAAGUGGACGAUCUUGCAGCCUGGAUCCAUGCAUCUCACGUCAAGCCUACACCUCCACAGGACGACCCAGGACCUUCCAAAUGAAAGUUUCAGUGUACCCAAAAUCCUCUCAAGGAGGCCUGGUUCUGCCAGGCUUGCUGAUCUUUGCCCUGAUGUUUAUACCUUAGGACUUAACCUGGACCCUGACAAACUUUGAGACUGGGCAAGCCUUAAGGCCAGCCACUGGAGUUCAUCCCCUGAAUACCUGGUUCCCCCAGCUAACUUUUGACCUGUAUGUUUUAGCAAAAGCCUCUUGGGAGGAUACUGAGCAAACCCCUGAAAACUUUUAUCCUGUAUGCAAAUAUUCUAAAUGAUAUGUUUGUCCGGGGAGAAAAACAAUAUGGGGGGGCUAAAAUAUUUUAUUGUGCUGCCUGAGGAUGUAAAACCAAUGUCAAUGUCUCCUGGUUGAGGGUUAAUGAAAAGGACUUAGUCUCUUUCACCCAUAAAUAGUACUGACCCCAGCUUGACACAAUCUUGUUGGCUAUGCUUGUCAGCAGGACCUCCCUAAUAUGAGGGAAUAGACUCAUCUGGCAGUUUAUUGAUCUAUGAUGGGCCUAUAACACUGGUUUGUUAAUCUCUGUGUACAGAUCCAAUUGGUCCUCCAAAUUUACUAAUAUCUCAAGAUUGAGAUAUUUGACCAAAUAAGAGGAGGGACUGUAAGACUUUAAGACAAUCCUGAAGCCAUUUUUGACAAUUCUGAAUCCUCUCAGCCUCUGUGCCAUAGUGCUUCCCCUCCUCCCCUGGGAACCAAGGACCUAACAGCUACACUUGCACGUACUCAGUUCCUGAACAAUUACCCAUAUACGUAUGCUUUGGUUCGGUCCCCUGGGAAACGGGGUCAAAAUGACCUCUUACCUCAUCUGAUCUGGCAACAGCUCUCCAGUCAAUUAUUGGUAAUAGCCCUUUCAAAUAAGCCAAUCAGAAUAGUCAAAGAACAACCCCCCUUGCUUCUGUGGCCCCUUUAAAAAUAGACUGUACCAGCUAUUCGAGGUCCCUCGGCUUCCCGAAUGCUGGGGGACCCUGUCAUGACAGAAUUAAUAAAAUCCUCAUGCUUUUGCUUCGGC